GACGAACGCUGGCGGCGUGCUUAACACAUGCAAGUCGAACGGAAAGGCCCUGCUUUUGUGGGGUGCUCGAGUGGCGAACGGGUGAGUAACACGUGAGUAACCUGCCCUUGACUUUGGGAUAACUUCAGGAAACUGGGGCUAAUACCGGAUAGGAGCUCCUGCUGCAUGGUGGGGGUGGGAAAGUUUCGGCGGUUGGGGAUGGACUCGCGGCUUAUCAGCUUGUUGGUGGGGUAGUGGCUUACCAAGGCUUUGACGGGUAGCCGGCCUGAGAGGGUGACCGGCCACGUUGGGACUGAGCUGCGGCCCAGACUCCUACGGGAGGCAGCAGUGGGGAAUAUUGCACAAUGGGCGGAAGCCUGAUGCAGCAACGCCGCGUGCGGGAUGACGGCCUUCGGGUUGUAAUCCGCUUUCGCCUGUGACGAAGCGUGAGUGACGGUAAUGGGUAAAGAAGCACCGGCUAACUACGUG
rnacentral:rRNA from 1 species